rnacentral:lncRNA from 1 species
UAUGGGACAAUGAAGGUGCGGGCGUCUCUGCUGUAUAGGGGUGAUGAAGGUGGGGGUCUCUGCUCUAUGGGGAGAUGAAGUUGGGGGUUUCUGCUCUAUGGGGUGAUGAAGGUGGGGGUCUCUGCUCUAUGGGGUGAUGAAGUUGGGGGUCUCUGCUCUAUGGGGAGAUGAAGAUGGGGGUCUCUACUCUAUGGGACGUUGAAGUUGGGGGUCUCUGCUCUAUGGGACAAUGAAGGUGGGGGUCUCUGCUGUAUGGGGUGAUGAAGGUGGGGGUCUCUGCUCUAUGGGACGAUGAAGUUGGGGGUCUCUGCUCUAUGGGACGUUGAAGGUGGGGGUCUCUGCUCUACGGGACAAUGAAGGUGGGGGUCUCUGCUCUAUGGGCUGAUGAGGGUGGGGGUCUCCCAUGCAUGGAGUGAUGAAGGUGGGGGUCUCUGCUCUAUGGGACGUUGAAGGUGGGGGUCUCUGCUCUACGGGACAAUGAAGGUGGGGGUCUCUGCUGUAUGGGACAAUGAAGGUCGGGGUCUCUGCUCUAUGGGACGUUGUAGUUGGGGGUCUCUGCUCUAUGAGGAGAUGAAGGUGGGGGUCUCUGCUCUAUGGGACGUUGAAGGUGGGGGUCUCCCAUACACAGAGUGAUGAAGGUGGGGGUCUCUGCUCUAUGGGGUGAUGAAGUUGGGGGUCUCUGCUCUAUGGGACGAUGAGGGUGGGGGUCUCGAAGCCUCAUCUCCCACCUCCCGGCUCGGGGUGUCCCCGCAGCUCCCGUUCCGUCCCCGCAGCUCCCGGUCCCUCCGCUGUGCGGAGCCUUAGAGCCGAGGCGAAGCACCGAACCCCCCCCCCCCUCCGGUUCCCCCCCCACCCCCGCUCCCGUUGGGCGUCACCGACGGAGCGAUGGCGGCGGGCGGAGCCCGUUGGAGACGGGGCAGGAAGUUCCUCCUCCCGGGCCGGGUCGGGUCGAACCGCUACCGGCGGAGGAGGCGGCGGUGCGAUGCGCACCGAGAGCGGCCGCUGGGGCGGACACGGUUCGGGUGUCUCCGGUUCGGGAUUCCGGGUCGGAUCCUGGAGCCGGAACCGGGGGGGCGAUGGCCGCGCUCCUCGCAAUGGGGCUGCUCCUCGUCGGCGCUCACGGGGCUCACGGGGACCCAGUAGGUGACAAGCGGGGCCAGCGAUGAUGGAGAGUGACACCUCAAAGUCGCUGCGGGGGGAGCGGCUGAUGGGGAUGGAGGAGGGAGUCAGGUGAGACCCCAGAGGCCGAUGGGUAUAAUGGGGUGGGGCUGGGGGUUACUGGGGCCUGGGGGGCGCUUGGCGGGGGCGCUGGAAGACCCAUAUGA